UAAUACGAAGGGUGCAAGCGUUACUCGGAAUUACUGGGCGUAAAGCGUGCGUAGGUGGUUUGUUAAGUCUGAUGUGAAAGCCCUGGGCUCAACCUGGGAACGGCAUUGGAUACUGGCUUACUAGAGUGCGGUAGAGGGUAGUGGAAUUCCCCGGUGUAGCAGUGAAAUGCGUAGAUAUCGGGAGGAACAUCUGUGGCGAAGGCGACUACCUGGACCAGCACUGACACUGAGGCACGAAAGCGUGGGGAGCAAACAGGAUUAGAUACCCUGGUAGUCCACGCCCUAAACGAUGCGAACUGGAUGUUGGGUGCAACUUGGCACUCAGUAUCGAAGCUAACGCGUUAAGUUCGCCGCCUGGGGAUACGGUCGCAAGACUGAAACUCAAAGGAAUUGACGGGGGCCCGCACAAGCGGUGGAGUAUGUGGUUUAAUUCGAUGCAACGCGAAGAACCUUACCUGGCCUUGACAUGCACGGAACUUUCCAGAGAUGGAUUGGUGCCUUGGG
rnacentral:rRNA from 1 species